UGAUACUGGCUCAGGACGAACGCUGGCGGCGUGCCUAACACAUGCAAGUCGAACGGGGCGAAGUGAUAGCUUGCUAUUAUGGAGCCUAGUGGCAAACGGGUGAGUAACGCGUAGGCAACCUGCCCUUCAGAUGGGGACAACACCUCGAAAGGGGUGCUAAUACCGAAUGACGUUUCCCGGUCGCAUAACCUGGAAACCAAAGGCCGGGCAACCGGUCACUGAAGGAUGGGCCUGCGUCUGAUUAGCUAGUUGGUGGGGUAACGGCCCACCAAGGCGACGAUCAGUAGCCGGUCUGAGAGGAUGAACGGCCACAUUGGGACUGAGACACGGCCCAAACUCCUACGGGAGGCAGCAGUGGGGAAUCUUCCGCAAUGGGCGCAAGCCUGACGGAGCAACGCCGCGUGAGUGAAGAAGGUUUUCGGAUCGUAAAGCUCUGUUGAGAGGGACGAGAGAUAUAAUCAGGAAAUGGGUUAUAGAGGACGGUACCUUUCGAGGAAGCCACGGCUAACUACGUGCCAGCAGCCGCGGUAAUACGUAGGUGGCGAGCGUUGUCCGGAAUUAUUGGGCGUAAAGGGAGCGCAGGUGGGAAAGUAAGUCAGUCUUAAAAGUUCGGGGCUCAACCCCGUGAUGGGAUUGAAACUACUUUUCUUGAGUGCAGGAGAGGAAAGCGGAAUUCCUAGUGUAGCGGUGAAAUGCGUAGAUAUUAGGAGGAACACCAGUGGCGAAGGCGGCUUUCUGGACUGUAACUGACACUGAGGCUCGAAAGCGUGGGGAGCGAACAGG
rnacentral:rRNA from 1 species